UCCUACGGGAGGCAGCAGUGGGGAAUAUUGGACAAUGGGGGCAACCCUGAUCCAGCGACGCCGCGUGGGUGAAGAAGGCCUGCGGGUUGUAAAGCCCUUUCAGUGGGGAAGAAAAGUCUCGUCCUAACAUGGCGGGAUCUUGACGUAACCCAUAGAAGAAGCACCGGCUAACUCUGUGCCAGCAGCCGCGGUAAUACAGAGGGUGCGAGCGUUAAUCGGAAUUACUGGGCGUAAAGCGCGCGUAGGCGGCUUUGCAAGUCGGGUGUGAAAUCCCCAAGCUUAACUUGGGAACUGCACUCGAGACUGCAUUGCUAGAGUAUGGGAGAGGGAAGUGGAAUUUCAGGUGUAGCGGUGAAAUGCGUAGAUAUCUGAAGGAACAUCAGUGGCGAAAGCGACUUCCUGGACCAAUACUGACGCUCAUGUGCGAAAGCGUGGGGAGCAAACAGGAUUAGAUACCCUGGUAGUCC
rnacentral:rRNA from 1 species